rnacentral:rRNA from 1 species
AGGGAAUCUUCCGCAAUGGGCGAAAGCCUGACGGAGCAACGCCGCGUGAGUGAUGAAGGUCUUCGGAUCGUAAAACUCUGUUAUUAGGGAAGAACAAAUGUGUAAGUAACUAUGCACGUCUUGACGGUACCUAAUCAGAAAGCCACGGCUAACUACGUGCCAGCAGCCGCGGUAAUACGUAGGUGGCAAGCGUUAUCCGGAAUUAUUGGGCGUAAAGCGCGCGUAGGCGGUUUUUUAAGUCUGAUGUGAAAGCCCACGGCUCAACCGCGGAGGGUCAUUGGAAACUGGAAAACUUGAGUGCAGAAGAGGAAAGUGGAAUUCCAUGUGUAGCGGUGAAAUGCGCAGAGAUAUGGAGGAACACCAGUGGCGAAGGCGACUUUCUGGUCUGUAACUGACGCUGAUGUGCGAAAGCGUGGGGAUCAAACAGGAUUAGAUACCCUGGUAGUCCACGCCGUAAACGAUGAGUGCUAAGUGUUAGGGGGUUUCCGCCCCUUAGUGCUGCAGCUAACGCAUUAAGCACUCCGCCUGGGGAGUACGACCGCAAGGUUG